AGCUGGAGUGGACAGGACGGCUUUCGAGAUUUGGCGCGGCCUUUGUCUCUGGCUGCAGUCGUAGCUCCAGGUCUUUUCUUCUCUGUUCUGUGUCUUCUGCUCCUAGAGGCCCAGCUUCUGUGUCCCUGUGACCUGUAGGUUUGUGACAUAUCACUGAGCUCAGCACCUAGCUGAUGUGACCUUUUUCUUCCUAGGUUCUGCCUGCAAAGAAGAUUGUGACAUAUUGCUGGUUGCAACACCACGGUGAUGUUACUUUUUGCCUUCUGAUGUAUCGCUAAGCCCAGCACCUAGCUAAUGUAAGUUUUCUCUUCUUCUUAGGUUCUGCCUGUAGAAAAGAUUGUAACAUAAUGCUGGGCCCAACUUCAAGGUGGCAUUACUUUUUUGACUUGGCCUUGCUCUCAGAAGACAUUAUAACAUACUGCUGGGCCCAGAACCAAGGUGAUG
rnacentral:lncRNA from 1 species